rnacentral:rRNA from 1 species
UGGGGAAUCUUGGACAAUGGGCGCAAGCCUGAUCCAGCCAUGCCGCGUGAGCGAUGAAGGUCUUAGGAUUGUAAAGCGCUUUCAGCGGGGGAAGAUGAUGACGGUACCCGCAGAAGAAGCCCCGGCUAACUCCGUGCCAGCAGCCGCGGUAAUACGGAGGGGGCUAGCGUUGUUCGGAAUUACUGGGCGUAAAGGGCGUGUAGGCGGCCAAUUAAGUCAGAGGUGAAAUCCCCGAGCUCAACUUGGGAACUGCCUUUGAUACUGGUUGGCUAGAGUUCGGGAGAGGGUAGUGGAAUUCCCAGUGUAGAGGUGAAAUUCGUAGAUAUUGGGAAGAACACCAGUGGCGAAGGCGGCUACCUGGACCGAUACUGACGCUGAGGCGCGAAAGCGUGGGGAAGCAAACAGGAUUAGAUACCCUGGUAGUCCACGCCGUAAACGAUGAGCACUCGGUGCCGCGGGUAUCGA